GAUGAACGCUAGCGGCAGGCCUAAUACAUGCAAGUCGAACGAUAGAAGAGAGCUUGCUCUCUUUGAAAGUGGCGCACGGGUGCGUAACGCGUAUGCAACCUACCUUAAUCAGGGGGAUAGCCCGAAGAAAUUCGGAUUAACACCGCAUAAAAUCACAGUACAGCAUUGUACAAUGAUCAAAUAUUUAUAGGAUUAAGAUGGGCAUGCGUGACAUUAGGUAGUUGGCGGGGUAACGGCCCAGCAAGGCGACGAUGUCUAGGGGAUCUGAGAGGAUGACCCCCCACACUGGUACUGAGACACGGACCAGACUCCUACGGGAGGCAGCAGUAAGGAAUAUUGGUCAAUGGAGGGAACUCUGAACCAGCCAUGCCGCGUGCAGGAAGACAGCCCUCUGGGUCGUAAACUGCUUUUAUUCGGGAAUAAACCUACUUACGUGUAAGUAGCUGAAUGUACCGAAGGAAUAAGGAUCGGCUAACUCCGUGCCAGCAGCCGCGGUAA
rnacentral:rRNA from 1 species